UACGUAGGGGGCAAGCGUUGUCCGGAUUUAUUGGGCGUAAAAGGCUUGUAGGUGGCCACGCCAAGUCGGAUGUGAAAUCUCCCGGCUCAACUGGGAGGGGUCAUUCGAUACUGGCGGGCUCGAGGCCGGUAGGGGGAAGUGGAAUUCCCGGUGUAGUGGUGGAAUGCGUAGAUAUCGGGAGGAACACCAGUGGCGAAGGCGGCUUCCUGGACCGGUUCUGACACUG
rnacentral:rRNA from 1 species